rnacentral:lncRNA from 1 species
CACACAUCCGCUUUAUCUCGUAUUUGUCGGAAAAAUUUCAACAUAUGGGAUCACACAUGUAUAUCUAUUAAAAUGUGUGGUGCCCCAAUUGUACGUGAUUUCACGUUUCUCUGCAUCCCCAUCAAUAUAGAAGAAUUUCCAAGGAAUUACGUAUUAAUUGAAAAUCAUAACCCGUUCAACACACUUGUAUCUAUGGAUCAAGGUACGUUUUCUCUUAUAAUCUUCUCUUUGAUUUCAACUUGGAGGAUUUAUAUAAAUUCGUGAAAGGGUUUGAUAAACCUUUGGUUCCUUUCAAUUCCUACAAGUGGUAUCAGAGCACUCUAUUGUUGAUCCUUUGAGAAAUUAAGGUUUUAACAAUUGUGACUUUUGGGUUAUUUGAUUGUCUACCAUGUUAUUGUAUGGAAUUUAGUUUUUGCAAUAAUUUCAAAUUUUAAGAUUUGACAAUUUGGGAUAUGUUUUUGUUGAAUUCGAAAAUUUGGCAUGUUGUUCAUGAUUAUUUUUUGAGAUUUGGAUUAAGGAUUUAUGGAAUUUCGGUUUAUGAAUUUUUUGGGUUUCAAAAAGAAAAAUUGAAAAACCCGAAUCUGGCCGGAGGUGUUGCAGCGAGGCGCUGUUGCUUGCUACAGCGCUUGGUGCGAUGUAGGAAGCGACGGGGCAAGUUUCACUGUUCUGGGCGACGUCGGCCACCAACGCUAUUAGGGAGAAAGAGAAAGAGAAAUUUUCUAGGGUUUUUUCGAUUUGGAUAAUAGAGGGGCGGGGGCCACACGUGCAAAUUGGAUAACUUGAGGCUGCUUCUUACAAUUUCACGUUAUGGUUAAAAUUUAAAGUUCCAUUUCCUGAUGUCUAAAGUUCAUCUAAGUUGGACCUUUAAAGUUAUGGGUUUAAUAAUUCAGUCCCUGAAGUUUGAAAAUUAUUUAAUUUAGGCCAUUAAAGUUCUAAAUUUUACAAUUAAAGCCCUCAAUGUUUAAAAUUAAUUAAAAUUGACCCCCAAAGUUUUAAAAUUUUCAAUUUUUUUUACCUCUAAAGUUUUGAAUUAUUAACCUUUAGAUCCCUAAAGUUUCAAAGUCAUCUAAUGAUGCAAAAUUGGUGAUUCUCUUUCUCAAAUAUUGGUACUAAGGACUCUUUUGAGAGGAUAAUUGAGAUUAAAUAUGUGGGAUAAUCAAAUUUAAAUAUUUUGGUAAAUCAUCCAUGAUAAAUUAAGAUUGUCUAACAUUUUAAAUAAACUAAGUGAAACAAUAUGUCACCAAAGUGACAUCUCUUGUGUAGAUUGGUUUGUUUGUGAUAUUUAGAUGUUGUAUGUGCUUGUUCAUGCGGGUAUUAGCCGAUCCAAAUGAAGGUUAAUAUUUGGUCGAAUUACAUACACACCAGUGGUGGUGAAUGUGUGACAAUUAUAAGGUUUCCAUGUGAAUAAUAAAUGAAUCCAAAGAAGAGUUUAUUAUGUUGACAAGAGUUAUUGUCAAUGUUUGAUCACUACAUUGAGAGUACUACUUGCAAUUAAUAUUAUUGUCCAAAAACUUGAUAUUAAUGUUGCGCUAGGUAUUUUGAGAUAAGGCUUACCAUUAUUUGAAUUUAUUGAUCAUCAAAUGCGGAUAUGAGCAUGAUUUUUUUUUUCUAUACAGCGACUUCAUUUGAUACUAGUAUAUCUGCCAAUAUUAAUUCUAUUCUCAUGCUUAAUAGGACAAACUUCAAGGAUUGGAAGGAAAAUAUUUUGAUUGUUCUUGGCUGCAUGGAUCUUGAUCUUGCACUCUGAAUUAAGGAACCCACUCCUUUUGCGAAAGGAAGUUCAACUGAUGAAAGAGGAAGUUUGAGAAGUGGGAUAUCUUAAAUUUCAUGAGUCUAAUGAUCAUUAAGCGCGGCAUUCCAAAAGCCUUUAAAGGUGUAGUAUUUGAAGGGGUAACUAAUGCCAACAUGGAAUUAGUUAAUAAAAAUUAUUAACUAAUUACGUUAUUCAAAAUGUAAAGACGUUUUGCUCAAUCAUAAUGAAAGGCAGGAAAGUUUUGUGUUAAUUACCCCUUAAUUUUGUAUAUUGAACCGUAUCAACCAAAUAAAAUUAGUUUGCGAGUAUAAUUCGGUUUUCUGAAAUAAAAUUGCUACAAGUCGUAAUUUUUGCCGAAAGCUAUCAAUUGG